GAUGAACGCUGGCGGCGUGCCUAAUACAUGCAAGUCGAGCGAACAGACGAGGAGCUUGCUCCUCUGACGUUAGCGGCGGACGGGUGAGUAACACGUGGAUAACCUACCUAUAAGACUGGGAUAACUUCGGGAAACCGGAGCUAGUACCGGAUCAUAUAUUGAACCGCAUGGUUCAAUGGUGAAAGACGGUUUUGCUGUCACUUAUAGAUGGAUCCGCGCCGCAUUAGCUAGUUGGUAAGGUAACGGCUUACCAAGGCAACGAUGCGUAGCCGACCUGAGAGGGUGAUCGGCCACACUGGAACUGAGACACGGUCCAGACUCCUACGGGAGGCAGCAGUAGGGAAUCUUCCGCAAUGGGCGAAAGCUUGACGGAGCAACGCCGCGUGAGUGAUGAAGGUCUUCGGAUCGUAAAACUCUGUUAUUAGGGAAGAACAAAUGUGUAAGUAACUAUGCACGUCUUGACGGUACCUAAUCAGAAAGCCACGGCUAACUACGUG
rnacentral:rRNA from 1 species